AACGAACGCCGGCGGCAGGCCUCAAACAUGCAAGUCUAGGGGGUGCAGCAAUGCAUCACCGGCGGACGGGUGCGUAACGCGUGGGAAUAUACCUUUUGGUUCGGAACAACUGCGGGAAACUGCAGCUAAUACCGAAUGUGCCCUAACGGGGAAAGAUUUAUCGCCAAAGGAUUAGCCCGCGUAGGAUCAGCUAGUUGGUGAGGUAAUGGCUCACCAAGGCUCCGAUCCUUAGCNGUUCUGAGAGGAAGAUCAGCCACACUGGGACUGAGACACGGCCCAGACUCCUACGGGAGGCAGCAGUUGGGAAUCUUGGGACAAUGGGGGAAACCCUGAUCCAGCCAUGCCGCGUGAGUGAUGAAGGCCUUCGGUUGUAAAC
rnacentral:rRNA from 1 species